GUGGUGCAGCCGGAAAGCAUAGAGGUUGGAUGCCGCAUUUGCAAGUGCAAUUGCAGACUCAUAAUCUCCGUCAUUAUCCACUAAACCACAGUGCGGAUCCUCACAUUUUGCCUCAUAUUCUAGCACGAGGUCUCCAUGUCUUUCCUCUAAAUUUUUAACCUUCUUCUUGUGGGUGUCUGUCUGUGUUUUGAUCACAUGGUACUGGGCAUAACAAACUUGAAAUUAUUAUAAUUAAUUGGCUUAAUAAUAAUCAAUAAAAACAUUGAGGAUCCAAGAGAUUAAGAACCAUAUUUGGGAUCCUUUGCAAUGAUGCAACCUCAAUAAAUGUCAAUGCACAAGCCAAACAACAAAAUAAUAUUGGCUAGGCUCAAUUAAACUAUAAGAUGAUCAUGUACAAUUAAUAUACGUAUGCUUUACUGUUGAGCUUUUUAACUGAAGAUAUGAAUCCCUUUAAUUUCUUGAUUUGAUCUUAUUAAUGCAAGUACUUAAAGUAAUCAAUCAGCCAUUAAAAAAAAA
rnacentral:misc_RNA from 1 species